GCCAUCGCCGGGCCCACAGCAUGCCGCUUUGCCUAGCCUCACAUACCAUUGUCCAAGUGCCCGGCGACGGGUAAGGCAAACGGGAUUGGCUUCGACUGUGGCCCCACAUGUGAAGAGUGUGACUUCUCCUUGCCGUGAGACUCCGAGACAUGACACCAUCGCCACCACAUGGUGUGACACCUAAAGCGUGCACAGUGAAAGCAGUGGGAGGAGUAUUAGCUUGCACACAUCUGUUGGGAGCGCGUGAUCCCGAGCCCACGGUGCGACAGCUAGCGCCUGCAUCGAUCCAACGCCUCGCCUCAACGGUGGUCGGUCGUCAUGGCUGGCGGGCGGGCGGGCGCGUGUGGGGGCGCUGCAGGCGAAGGCGUCGGAUCGUACGAGACGAAUUACGUCGAACACAUAGCGGGCAUACGGUCACUGCAAGGAGGAGGACACGGGUGUGUGCGCUGCUCUUUGGAUCGAUUUUGGGGUUGUGGUGGGAAACCAUUGAACGUGGCAUAUAUGCGGAAGGCUGUGCAUCUGAAUGCGACGGCUUGCUAUC